rnacentral:rRNA from 1 species
AUUGAACGCUGGCGGCGUGCUUAACACAUGCAAGUCGAUCGGUAACGCGGGGGCAACCCUGGCGACGAGAGGCGGACGGGUGAGGAACGCUUGGGAAUCUGCCUAUCAGCGGGGGACAACACGGGGAAACUCGUGCUAAUACCGCAUACGCUCUACGGAGGAAAGCCGGGGACCGCAAGGCCUAGCACGGAUAGAUGAGCCCAAGCCGGAUUAGCUAGUUGGCGGGGUAACGGCCCACCAAGGCGACGAUCCGUAGCUGGUCUGAGAGGACGAUCAGCCACACUGGGACUGAGACACGGCCCAGACUCCUACGGGAGGCAGCAGUGGGGAAUAUUGGACAAUGGGGGAAACCCUGAUCCAGCGACGCCGCGUGGGUGAAGAAGGCCUGCGGGUUGUAAAGCCCUUUCGAUAGGGACGGAAGCUCUCGACCUAACACGUCGGGAGGUUGACUUAACCUACAAAAGAAGCACCGGCUAACUCUGUGCCAGCCGCCGCCGUAACAC